UACGGAGGGUGCAAGCGUUUCUCGGAAUUAUUGGGCGUAAAGGGUAGGUAGGUGGUCUUAUUUGUCUGGGGUGAAAGCCUUGAGCUUAACUCAAGAAGUGCCUCAGAAACGGUAAGACUGGAGUCCUGGAGAGGGUCGUGGAAUUCCCGGUGUAGCGGUGAAAUGCGUAGAGAUCGGGAGGAACACCAGAGGCGAAAGCGGCGACCUGGACAGGCACUGACACUCAACUACGAAAGCGUGGGGAGCAAACAGG
rnacentral:rRNA from 1 species